GGCUGAGCUAAUAGUGAGAAUUUGUUUGCUCAUUGCGGUCGCCUUGAAUCAUGUAUCCGGCAAUUAUUUGACGGAAUGCCCCGGUCUCGCAGGACCAGGUUGUUACUUCAAUGGCAGCAUGUACAAUGACGGUGCCUACCUAAUGAAUCAGUGCAUUGGCAUUCGCUGUGAAGGUAGCAACUGGGUACCUACAGGC